CGACAGGAGGUAACAGUGUGGGAUCCGGUGUGGACGGUGUCCUUCACGCCUUCCCCCCGCGCCGCUUUCUUCCCCGGCAUCCUUGCCGGUGCCAGAGUCGCGCGGCCCCAACGCUAAGGUGGCUCCCGCCCCCUCGUAACUUAAGGUUCGCGGAGAAGUUCCGUCCUUGGUUAGACCAGCUCUCGGGAUCUGCGCUUGCCUUCCGAGACGCAGACGGGGGCCUCGCGCCCCAGGCAUCCUGGACGCCUGGCCCGCGGCAUGCCCCGACCACCGAGUCAACGCCUGGGUAGGCGCGGUCGCGGCGCCCGCUCACCUCGCAUGGCCGGCUCGCGUGGGGAGACCCGGCUGCGCUCGGGUGCGGAAGAGCUGGCCCGCCAGCCGGGGACCAGCGAGCCGGGGCCUGCGCGGUGCUCCCCCAGCCACGCGCGGCCGGAGUAGAGGGGCGCGCGAGGCGCUCAAGGUUCGCGUGCCUGCGCGCUUGCGGAGCCGCUCGCGGUCCCACUCCCGUGGUCUGACUGCCGAGCCCCGCCGCUGGGAGCCGGAGGUGCCGGGUUUCCAGUUACAAUCUUGCCUGUCACGCCUCCUAGAGAUAACUAAACUGAAUUCAAGAUAAAAAUGAAAGGCAAUCCUCAUUCAGAAAUCCCCAGCCAGCAAUGUUUUCAGAGAACCUAUUUGAUAAGCAGCUGCCCUGUGUAGAAGCUGGGAAUUAUCAAGAAAAUUAUGAAGAAUUAUGAAGACCCACCAGAGUCCUGCCUUCAAGAAGCUUCCAGUCAGUGUGAAUGUCCUCAUAAAAGGAGAGGACAUGGAGGAAAGAGCAGACGUAAAAACAAUUUAGAUCAUAGAAUCCCAUUAAUCUCUUCUCCCUACCUUUUUUUCUUAAGGCCACUACAUAGAGAAGAGCAGACAGUGAAUGUUGUGAAAACAAUAAAGCUUUAGAGAGAGAAUCUGUAUGGUUGUUUUUCCCUUCGUUUUUUUUUCCUGGUGAGGAAGAUUGGCCCUGAGCUAACAUCUGUU